AGUGAACGCUGGCGGUAGGCCUAACACAUGCAAGUCGAACGGCAGCACAGGAGAGCUCGCUCUCUGGGUGGCGAGUGGCGGACGGGUGAGGAAUACAUCGGAAUCUACUCUGUCGUGGGGGAUAACGUAGGGAAACUUACGCUAAUACCGCAUACGACCUACGGGUGAAUGCAGGGGAUCUUCGGACCUUGCGCGAUUGAAUGAGCCGAUGUCGGAUUAGCUAGUUGGCGGGGUAAAGGCCCACCAAGGCGACGAUCCGUAGCUGGUCUGAGAGGAUGAUCAGCCACACUGGAACUGAGACACGGUCCAGACUCCUACGGGAGGCAGCAGUGGGGAAUAUUGGACAAUGGGCGCAAGCCUGAUCCAGCCAUACCGCGUGGGUGAAGAAGGCCUUCGGGUUGUAAAGCCCUUUUGUUGGGAAAGAAAUCCAGCUGGCUAAUACCCGGUUGGGAUGACGGUACCCAAAGAAUAAGUACCGGCUAACUUCGUGCCAGCAGCCGCGGUAA
rnacentral:rRNA from 1 species